rnacentral:rRNA from 1 species
GCUUGUCUCAAAGAUUAAGCCAUGCAUGUCUAAGUACAAGCCUCAGUAAGGUGAAACCGCGAAUGGCUCAUUAAAUCAGUGAUAAUUUGGUUGAUGGAGAGAUAUCGUGGAUAACCGUGGUAAUUCUAUGGCUAAUACAUGCAGAGCAGACGCAAGUCUGGCAUUUAUUAGAUAAAGCCUUGGCGGCGGGGUAGCCCGUCGCUGCGGUGAGAGAUGAUAACUGGGCGGAUCGCGGUUUGGCGCGACGCAUCAAGGAAAUUUCUGCCCUAUCAACUGUGGACGGUAGGAUCGAGGCCUACCGUGGUGGUGACGGGUACGGGAAAUCGGGGUUUGAUUCCGGAGAGGGAGCCUGAGAGAUGGCUACCACUUCCAAGGAAGGCAGCAGG